rnacentral:rRNA from 1 species
GACGAACGCUGGCGGCGUGCUUAACACAUGCAAGUCGAACGGAAAGGCCCUGCUUUUGUGGGGUGCUCGAGUGGCGAACGGGUGAGUAACACGUGAGUAACCUGCCCUUGACUUUGGGAUAACUUCAGGAAACUGGGGCUAAUACCGGAUAGGAGCUCUUGCUGCAUGGUGGGGGUUGGAAAGUUUCGGCGGUUGGGGAUGGACUCGCGGCUUAUCAGCUUGUUGGUGGGGUAGUGGCUUACCAAGGCUUUGACGGGUAGCCGGCCUGAGAGGGUGACCGGCCACAUUGGGACUGAGAUACGGCCCAGACUCCUACGGGAGGCAGCAGUGGGGAAUAUUGCACAAUGGGCGGAAGCCUGAUGCAGCAACGCCGCGUGCGGGAUGACGGCCUUCGGGUUGUAAACCGCUUUCGCCUGUGACGAGGCGUGAGUGACGGUAAUGGGUAAAGAAGCACCGGCUAACUACGUG